ensembl:snRNA U4 U4 spliceosomal RNA
AGCUUUGCACAGUGGCAGUAUCGUAGCCAGUGAGAUUUAUCCGAGGCGUGAUUAUUGCUAAUUGAAAACUUUUUGCAAUACCCCGCCAUGACGACUUGAAAUAUAGUUGGCAUUGGCAAUUUUUGGCAGUCUCUACAGGGA